rnacentral:rRNA from 1 species
GACAGAGGCCCCAAGCGUUAGGCGGAAUCACUGGGCUUAAAGCGUGUGUAGGCGGAUCGUUAAGUGUCUUGUGAAAUCCCACGGCUCACCCGUGGAACUGCUGGGCAUACUGGCGAUCUUGGGCCAACUAGGGGCAGUCGGAACAAGCGGUGGAGCGGUGAAAUGCGUAGAUAUCGCUCGGAACGCCGAAGGUGAAAACAGACUGCUGGGGUUGCGCCGACGCUGAGACACGAAAGCCAGGGGAGCAAACGGG